rnacentral:rRNA from 1 species
GACGGCAGCACGGGAGCAAUCCUGGUGGCGAGUGGCGAACGGGUGAGUAAUGUAUCGGAACGUACCUUUCAGUGGGGGAUAACGUAGCGAAAGUUACGCUAAUACCGCAUAUUCUGUGAGCAGGAAAGCAGGGGAUCGCAAGACCUUGCGCUGAUUGAGCGGCCGAUAUCAGAUUAGCUAGUUGGUGAGGUAAAGGCUCACCAAGGCGACGAUCUGUAGCGGGUCUGAGAGGAUGAUCCGCCACACUGGAACUGAGACACGGUCCAGACUCCUACGGGAGGCAGCAGUGGGGAAUUUUGGACAAUGGGCGCAAGCCUGAUCCAGCCAUGCCGCGUGAGUGAAGAAGGCCUUCGGGUUGUAAAGCUCUUUCAGCCGGGAAGAAAACGCAUGGGUUAAUACCCUGUGUGGAUGACGGUACCGGAAUAAGAAGCACCGGCUAACUACGUGCCAGCAGCCGCGGUAAUACGUAGGGUGCGAGCGUUAAUCGGAAUUACUGGGCGUAAAGCGUGCGCAGGCGGUUUGUUAAGAUAGGCGUGAAAUCCCCGGGCUCAACCUGGGAACUGCGUUUAUGACUGGCAGGCUAGAGUAUGGCAGAGGGGGGUGGAAUUCCACGUGUAGCAGUGAAAUGC